rnacentral:lncRNA from 1 species
GGGGGGGGGGGGUCUCCAUACUCGAAGGAUGGUCUUACUACAGCAGUUUGAAGAGAUGAAAUGUCUGAUUUAAAUUCAAAUUAGUUACCGGUGAAGUGAAAGGGCAAAAGGUCAUGUGGCGAAUUUUCUCACAGUAGGAUAUUUGUCCUUUCUUUAUUGGAGUAGGGUGGGAAAGGUGUAAAAUAAGCAUUAGUAGAUUCUGUUUUAUUAGAAGACACACUUACUUCAAAACUCAACGAUGAAUUGAUAACCUUCACAAAUUCAUAGAACUGUCAAGUGUGUCAUUCCUCCAGUUUCGUUGCAUGUCCAAAAUACAACUUACCAGCUCCUUUUUUAUGCCCCAAAGAAAUGGAAAGAAUGGGAAGAGGGGAAAUCUCCACACUGUAUGUUCUCAAAGCAGUCCGCUGGUAGCUCCAUAUUAACAACAAUCGACAUCCAAAUUGUGAAGAAAAAAAAUCUAAGCAUCCGACUCAUUAUCUAAACACUACCAAUGGAGGCUGGAGUAGCUCAUAACCUAGGAAAACCUUUUUGAAACCCUUAUACAACCGAUAUGGGACAUGUUCUCUAAAACUCUCCCGUGCAUAACCUGUAGACAUUUUCUUUUCACUUUUUUCUCUCUUCCACUUUUGUUUCUUCUUUCCUUUUCCUUUUUUCCUUAUUUGGAGAAGACUGGAAUGGCUUAAGUCAGCAUGGAGCAGAGAGAAGGCUCAAUAGGCUAGGAGUGUGCCUGCAAAUGGCUCGAUGGACUGAAUAUGUAGAGAGGCACAGGUCCAUAGAAUAGGCAGAGAGAAGACUAGUGAAAACUAAAGUUCACUUCUGAAACCAUAUAAAAGAAUUUGAGCAUCAAAUCCAAAAAAAGUUAGAACUAUGGGUGCAAUAGCCCAUAUAGACUAUAUUUUGAAAUCCUUAGACAACCGAUAUGGACAAGUUAACACUAAUGAUCAAUGAAGUUUUCGCUCAUUUUGAGUUCAGCCUUGUUAAGAAAAACAACUCAUAGAAAUAAAAUUUCACUGGCAAUAACAAGAAUAAAAUGGACCACCAAGAUACGGUAAGCAACGAGAAUAGAAAAAGUAAUACACCAGGAUUUUAACGUGGAAAACCCUCCUCAAUAAGGAAAAAACUCACGGCCCAAGCUCAGGGGCAAAUCUAGAAUACAUUCACGGGUUUGGCAGAACCCAAUAGUUUUAGCACAGGUUGUGUUUGUGUUAAGAAAUUCACUUAAUAAUAUGCAUAUGUAUAAAUAAUUUAUCUUAAAUUCAUUAAGUGAUCUUGUCCUAGAAUCCAUUACUUAUAAGCUUAAAAUCCUAGAUCUGCUUUUGCCUAAGGGGUGCAAAAUAAUAUCGAUAUAGUAAGAAAAUCUACACUUGAUAGUCUCGAGUAAAAUACUCGAAAGACCACUACAUACUCUAACGAAACAACUCUAUUUUGUACACCCCUAAAAAUGAUACCACUCACUCUCUAUUUUAUUAUAUGCGAAUUGCUAUCUUCUCUUAUUUUUGUAUUCUAUUGUGUGUGUUGAAGUGAGAGAAAUGCCUCUAUUUAUAACAACACGAGCUAUGAGCUCCAAGCACAAAAAUACAAAAAGAGAGGAGAAAUUACCAAAAAUUUCUCUUCCACACACUUCAUAUUGUUUUGGCACAUGGCGAUUUAACAAGUAGGGAUAGAUCCCACAAAUCUCUCCCUCCAGAUUUAUUCACCUAAAGGAGGUAAUACCGGACUUAUAAUUUGAGCGCAUGCCGACAAGGUUUUUGCACAACUCAAACUUGUUUCUUGGUACCAUCUUGGUCAACGUACUUAAAGGAUUCUCACAUGAAAAGAUCUUCAAGAAAUGCUCUGCCUUUUGCCGAAUUUAAUGAAAUCUUAAGUAAUGUGUUUAGUCCUUGCAUGUACAUGGAGUUCUUGCUCAAGUCUAUUACACUUAGAGCGUCACUCCUUCUAAUGCAAGUCAUUUCUUGAAGAACCCUUUGAGCCAUAUCAUUUUAGAGUGAGCGACACUUAUGCAAAUUCAACUGCCAUGAUAUAGCUCUUCCUAAGAGAGUAAACAAAUAUCCAUUAGUGGAUUUUCUAUUAUCAGGAUCACCUGUCAUAUCAGUAUUUGUAUACCCCUUCUAAAUUGGAUCAGAUCUUAAAAAACACAAGUAGUUCUGAGGUACCUCUAAAAUGCUGAGUAUCCACUUAACUAUUUCCUAGUGUUCUUUUCUGGGAUUUUAAAGAAAGCUGCUCAUCAACGAUUGCAUGUGCAAUGUCGGAUCUGGUGCUUACUAUUUCAUAUAUCAAACUCCUAACAAUAGAGAAUAAGGAACUUUGGCGUUGCUGUCUUUCUCCUUUGUUGUGGGACAUAUCUUCUUGCUCAACUUCAUAUAACCAACAAAAGGUGUGCUGACUGGCUUAGCACUCUUCAUGUUGAAGCAUUUUAAUACACACUCAAUGUACUUGUCCUGGGACAACCACAACUUUCUACUCGUUCUGUACUUCUAUCUCGACUAAUCUGCAUUCCUAGAAUGUAUUAUGUUGUACUCUAAGUCUUUCAUGUUCAAUGACUUGGAUAAGUCUCCCUUCAACUUGGCUAUUAGAUUUUUAUCAUGUCUUACAAUCAACUUAUUAUCCACAUAUAACAAGAUAAAAUUGUUAUCAAAAUAUCUUUAGAAGUAUAUAUAUUUGACUUUCAUGAAUGAAUCAAAUUUCUUGUACCACUACCCUGGUGCAUGUUUCAACCCAUAGACUCUUCUUCAAUUUGCACAUCAUGUGUUCCACCAUUUUGCUUUAAAUUCUUCCGACUGCUCUAUAUAGAGGGUAUUUGCAUUGGCUUUUAAGCAGGUAAAAUCAGCUUUUAAGUUCUUUUUAACUUUUGCGGUGUUUGGCAAAGUCAAAAAGUACUUAGAAUAAGUUAAAAACUGCUUAAAAUAAGCCAAAAGCAGUAAGUUGGGCAACCCCAACUUAUUACUUUUUGGCUUAAAAGCUAUUUUUGCUGAAAAGCCACUUUUUUUAAGCCAAUCCAAAUGGGCUCAAGAUUUUGACUAGAUGCUAAGCUCAAAAUAGUUCGUAUAGACAGCUUGCUACUUCUACCUUUCUAAACAAAUCGCUAUUGCGAUCUUUCGUGAGUUUAAAGACUACUUUGGACGUUUUUCCUUUGGAAGUUCAACCAACUCGUGCAAUUUCUACAGAGAUUCCAUAAUCUUCUUGCAUAACUUUCAUCCACUAAUGAGAGAGCAUCUCCUCAAGAAUUUCUAGCUUCACAUCAUCACUAACGAGGACACAAUUUAAGAAAGAAUACAUCGACGAUUCUACUAUUUGCCUUUCUGAUCACUUCAAUGGUCGUUGUAUUUCACAAGUAGGGUGAGAUCUUCCUGGAGGGCAGAUUUAUGAAAUCCAUCUCUAGCUUAUUGAAAAGCCAUGUGUCAAAAAACACUUGAUGAAAUUCAUCCUUGGAGGCCAAGAAUGAAAUGUGUGGAGAAUUUUUGGCAACUUCUCCCGUGGUUGGAGCCUAUAGCUCCUAUUGUUAUAAAUAGAAAUAUUUCUCUAAUUUCAACACACAAAAAUAAAAAAAGGAAGCAAAAGCUGAGAGCAAUUCACAUUCACAAACAAUAGAAAAAAGUAAUUUGUGAGAAAAAAAUAUAGUGUGUAAGCGAUAUCAUCGCGAGGUGUGUAGAUCAAAAGAAAGUUGUUUCUUUUGAGUAUAGUGGUCUGUUGAGUAUUUUGCCCGAUACUACCAAGUGUAAACUUCUUUAUUAUACUGAUACGAUUUUGCUCCUCUUAGGAUGUGAGUUUUUACAUUAUUUGGAAGUGUUCUCCAGUCUCCACGAUAAAAUCGGUGUCUUUGUUACUCUCUUUUUUCUUGUCGAUUACUAUGUCUUGGUGCUCUAACUUUUGCUCAUGUUAUUCACCGUAUAUAUUUUUUAUAGGUUAUUUUUCACAACAAGGCUGAUGUUACAAUGAGCAUAAACUUCAUUGGUCAUUAAUGUAAGAGAACUUGUCCGAUGUUGGCAUAUUUGGGUCAAUUAAAAAUGACUUUAAAUUUUCAAUUCUAUGGAGCAAUCGAUGAUGGAUUAAUAACUUCACAAAAUGAUAGUACAUAAUACAAGUAUGUUCUUCCACCAACUUUGUUACAUGUCCUAGAUACAACUUAUCGGCUCCUUUCUAAAACCCAAUGGGCAGAGCUAGAAAUGGGAAGAGGGGUAUCACCAGAUCAUAUGUUCUCUAAUUUGCCCAUAGGUAGCUCCACAUUUACAAGAAUCAACAUUCUAGUUGUGAAAGAAUCCAAGUAUCCAAUCCAAAAUCUAUACAAGUGGAGUAGCCAAGGACCUUAUACACCCGAAACCUUAUACAACUGAUGUGGGAAAGAUCCACUAUACCCUCCUGUACGUGUAACCAGUUCUUGGGUUUGCACGGGACUUAAGACCUUUUUUACUCUUUUUUUAAAAAUUUUUUGUCUCUUUCUUUUCUUGUUUCUUUUCUUUUUAUUUUAUUUUUAUGACUAGACGAAAGUGGAAGUCAAAGUAGAGAGAAAUGGCUCAAUAGACAAAGAAGUGUACCUAUUAAUAGCUCGAUGGACCGAAUUAAGAGAUGUCAAAUCAGUAGAAUAGGUAAAGAAAAGACAAUAGUUUAAACAAGUUUACCAAAGUUUGAUUUUGAUACUAUUUGAAUGAAUCUGAGCAUCCAAACCAACACCUUACGACUAUGAGUGGAGUAGUCCAAAACCUUAUAAGUUUCUUUACAAACCCUUAGGCAACUGAUAGUUUGAUAGGGGACAUGUUCUCUUACGCUAAUGAUCAACGAAGCCUGCUCAUUAUGGCAUCAGUUUAAGGCUCCACUGUUAUGACUUUCUAUCCUCCCUUUAUCACCUAUUAUAUGACUCCGUUCACAUAGGAAAGGACAACUAGGAGCAAUCUUUAACACAAUUUAGCUAAACCUUUUUUCAGAAUAGAGUUUAAAUGUGCAAAACAAUACAAACGUAAUAAGAUAGUAACGUAUUAUAUAAGUUUAGAUACUUGGCGAUUCUUUUUUCCUUUAUUAAAAAAGAUUGGGAUGCACUUAAAACAAGUUGGUAAGAUAAUUGGGGAUGAAGAGUGAGCGCUCCCUUAUAGCAGCCAUUCAAAAUCAUGUUACAAACAUCCACCACCGAUGACAAAAUCUUCAAGAUAAAGUAUGUCGCAAGAAUACUGCAGUUGUCAGAUUUAAUUUCAGCAAUAUUCAUAAGCUACUCCUAAGUCCUUAAAAACUCUCCCCUUUCCGCACCUAUCUCCUCCCCAUCCCCUUUUUCCCAAAUCACAUAUGAAAGGCUCUCUUUAACUUUGGAGGCUCAUGCAUCAGCCUCAUCACAUACAAAAGUAACAAGCACUAAGAGUCUAAGACAGUGACUGGUAGGAGGUGAAUUGAAGGAGGAACGAGGAAGGGCUAUUUCCUUUGUUUGCUUAGUAGUACGAGGAAUGUGAGAUUACUGAAACAGUAUGCUUCCCUUCAACAUAAGUUUUUCCGAUCCCUCCAGAAUUUGAAGGAAAGAAGAAAAUAAAUCUUGUACUUUGUUUUUUAGCUUUAUCAAACAACCAGAGGAAAAGGCUAAAUACUCCUGAAGUGCAAGUAAAUUGGAAGGUUCACCUCCUCCCUCCUUCUUUCCCUUUGUCCCCCUUACAGGAAGAAAACAAAAGGUAAAUACUAACAAAAUAUACACUCAAUCACUUUCUAAUCCAACAUAACCCCUUCCAAACCAGCUCCAAGAAUGCCAGUAAAUAUACGCUCGAUCGCUUUCUCGUCCAACAUAACCCCUUCCAAACUAGCUCUAAGCAUUGGUUCCCAAGGAAAUUAUACAUAUUUAAAGCAAUAGGAGAACAUAAGCAAGUUCCAAACAGAACAUAUGAAAAGAUAUUCAUCAUCCCAUGUCAAAAACGAUAUCUACUUUGGUAAUUUUAUAUGCCAUUUUUUAAAUUCACAACUAAGAUGAGGUACAUAAAGAAGCGCCUAUGGGAUCGUUCCAACUAUUGAUUGUAUAAAGCCACUGAAAUUACAAUAUCCUCCCCAAACUUUGUCAAAGAUUUUUCGAAUUUGUUUUCCGAGCUAUGUUGCUCGGACUCUCCGAAAAUGUCACCGGGUGCAUGUCGGAUCCUCAAGACGUAGCGUAUUUUUGGAGGAUCCGACACGGUUGCGGUAGCACUUUGGAAAGCCCGUGCAACAUAGUUUCCGAGUUUCCUGCAAUUCGGACUUUGUGGAGAAGCUCGGUUUCAGUAGUUAAGACUUGAAUGUUUUCAUAAAACAAAGAUAGGAUUAGCCUUUUGGUAGAUGAACUUUACUUUAACGACAACUCUUUAGCCAAUUUGGAAGAUCAAACACCCAUAAAGAGAAACUUAAGUUUCUUAUUCAGUUUCCUCCAUCUAAAGAGAGAAAAGUUCUAAACCUUCUCAUUCUUCCUCUCGCAUAAGCAAAAACCAUUCUCCAAUUCUUUUUUUUUCCUUUUCUCUUUUUAUUUUGGGUGUCUUAUUGAGUAGCUAAAAUAUAGAAACAGCCAUUAAAUGAUUUCAAACAGGUAAAAGGAUCACAAUCUUCAGAAAAAGUCAAUGAUAGCAAAUAAUGUUUCAACAAACAACACAUAAUCACUUAACAGCCUGAAUUCACCAGAUUUUGAAGACAAAACAGAAAGUAAACUAAACUAAGAAUAAACAAGAAACAAAAAUUGAUAAUGAAGAAUCUGAAUACAUACCCCAUGCAAGCUAGAAAGUGACUGAUCCAAGCACUGAAAGAAGUGUAAAUCAUCAUAUGUCUAAACAUACAAGAAUUAUCCAAUUGUUCUUCAAAUUUCCCAAAUGAACCAGAUCACUAAAACCCAAGCAUAAAAAUCCAAUCUUUUUCUGCACCCAAAAAAAAAAAAACCUUUUUCAGUUUCAAGAAUCAGAUUAAUACAAAAAAAAAAAAAAACUUUUUCCUUACCUUAGAGCAACCAUAAUAUACAUAUGGAUAAUAAAUGCAACACAGUAAUUUAUUAUUAAAGAUAUAAUUGGUAAUGAAACUGAAUUCCAAAAGGGUGUUUCUAUACCUGGAAGAAACUGAGACUGGGGGCGCCCCUCUCUCUCUCUCACACACACAGAGAGUUUCUCUCUCUGCUUUAUCUGUGGGUUUGAUAUUUCAAUAGUGGACUAGUAAGUGAGGUGUCCUAGUUGCUAAUAAUUAGGCGUCUCGUGUCUCUGAGGUUAAAAUUUAAAUUAUCUUUAUAAUGCUGAAUGGUAUAAUUCAGUGAUUAAUAAAAUAAGUGUAGAAUUAUGAGAUUUCAAGUUUUAUUAAAAAUAUAAAAAAAAAUUAAUCUG